CUCUUGGACCUUCACGUCCUUAAAAAGUGCCAUUAAAUAAGGUCUAAUUUUUUCUGUAUCCACCUUUUCUGCAAUGCCCCUUAUUUUCAGAUUUUUUCUUCUUGCUCUGCCUUCUGUAUCUGUGAGUUGAGACUGUAGAGUGUUUAUUUUUUUCCCAAUUUCGUUAAAUCUAUUUCUCUGUUCUUGUGUUUCAAAUUGAAGUGCUUCAACUUUGUGUUCAUUUUCUUUAAUUCUUUCAUUCAUUUUGGUCAUUUCCUGUUUAAGGUCACCCAUGUGGAUUUUAAGUUCUUCCUUAAUUUGGCUUAGUUGUAUUUCCAGAAAUUGUUUAAUAAAGAGUUGCAAUGCAUAUUCUAAUUCUUUUGGUUUUGGACUUAUUAUUUGUGAGCUAUGGGCUUCAAUUCCAUUAGUAUCAUUGAUGUCUGUGGUACUAGAAGUGUUAUGUUUUAUCAUUAGUAACCUGGGUUUGGACUCCGUUGGUUUAGGAGAAGGGAAGAAUGUAGAAAGUCUUCUUUUGUUUUUUGGGGGGGUUCUCUUUUUUUCCUCUUUUUUUGAAGGUGUUUUAAUCUCGGUGGCUUUUUUAUUCACCAUUCUGUUGUUCACCUUGAAUUAGUCGUUCACCCUUACUACCCCUUUAUCUGGGGGAGGAUUCUUUAAGACUAACAAGGAAACUUGCUACUUCUUUAUCCCACACUCAGUACUCUUUUCUUUUGAAUUUAAAUCAGAAGUGAUUUCUGCUUGCUUUUAAUCCCCUUAAGGACACAUGACGUGUGUGACAUGUCAUGAUUCCCUUUUAUUCCAGACGUUUCAGGGGUUAAUAUUCCUUUCCAAAAGAUAUAUAAGUAUAUUUUCUCACCAGGUUAACAUUUAUUUCAAAUAUGGUAAAUCUCAGGGGGAGAAUUUUGCUCCAUUUAUAGCCAUAAAUUGUGUCUCUUAUCCAUAAGGUUAAGAAAUUAUAACGUCUCUCCAUGUUUAAUACAGUUAAAAUGAACUAAAAUAAUCGAAAAAGAGUAGCUUGUGUCCCAAAGGGAAGUUUUUUUAUCUUUAUCCCCCACCUAAUAUCCUUAUCCAGCGAAAUACUUAAAUUGCAAUACUUAUUUAUGAGCGCUAUAUAAUUUAAUUAUUCUUUAUAGAUUAG